ACGUGGGAACGUGCCUUUAGGUUCGGAAUAACUCAGGGAAACUUGUGCUAAUACCGAAUGUGCCCUUCGGGGGAAAGAUUUAUCGCCUUUAGAGCGGCCCGCGCCUGAUUAGCUAGUUGGUGAGGUAAAGGCUCACCAAGGCGACGAUCAGUAGCUGGUCUGAGAGGAUGAUCAGCCACAUUGGGACUGAGACACGGCCCAAACUCCUACGGGAGGCAGCAGUGGGGAAUCUUGCGCAAUGGGCGAAAGCCUGACGCAGCCAUGCCGCGUGAAUGAUGAAGGUCUUAGGAUUGUAAAAUUCUUUCACCGGGGACGAUAAUGACGGUACCCGGAGAAGAAGCCCCGGCUAACUUCGUGCCAGCAGCCGCGGUAAUACGAAGGGGGCUAGCGUUGCUCGGAAUUACUGGGCGUAAAGGGAGCGUAGGCGGACAUUUAAGUCAGGGGUGAAAUCCCGGGGCUCAACCUCGGAAUUGCCUUUGAUACUGGGUGUCUUGAGUGUGA
rnacentral:rRNA from 1 species